ACCGUGCGCCUACAAUCCGUCGGAGCCCUUUUGUGGGGUGACGGCGUGCCUAUCGAAAAAUGAGUCUGCGAGUCAGUGGCGGGUGGCGAGCAUAAGCCGUGUGGCGUAUGCGUAGCGAAAGCGAGUCUUAAAAGGCGUUUGUAGUCGCUUGUCCUGGACCCGAAGCGGGAUGAUCUAGCCCUGGGCAGGUUGAAGCGCGGGUAAGACCGCGUGGAGGACCGAACCCACCUGGGUUGAAAACCGGGGGGAUGACCUGGGGCUAGGGGUGAAAGGCCAAUCAAAUUCCGUGAUAGCUGGUUCUCUCCGAAAUGCAUUUAGGUGCAGCGUCGGUCGAUUGCGUCGCGGGGGUAGAGCUACCGGAUGCUUGCGGGCCCUUGUUGGGUACCAACAGCAGCCGAACUCCGAAUACCGUUGACGUGUAUUCCGGCAGUGAGUCGGCGGGGGAUAAGCUCCGUCGUCGAGAGGGAGACAGCCCAGACCGUCGUCUAAGGUCCCGAAGCGUGUGCUAAGUGGGAAAGGAUGUGGAGUCGCAUAGACAGCCAGGAGGUUGGCUCAGAAGCAGCCAUCCUUGAAAGAGUGCGUAACAGCUCACUAGUCGAGUGACCCUGCGCCGAAAAUGUACCGGGGCUAAGCCAGGUACCGAAGCUGCGGAUAUUCCUAGAAUAUGGUAGGGGAGCGUUGCAUGUGGGGUGAAGCCGUAUCGUGAGGAGCGGUGGACAGCAUGGAAGUGAGAAUGCCGGUGUGAGUAGCGAGAUGUAGGUGAGAAUCCUACACACCGAAAGCCCAAGGAUUCCAGGGGAAGGUUCGUCCGCCCUGGGUAAGUCGGGACCUAACGCGAGGCCGAGAGGCGUAGUGGAUGGAAAACAGGCAGAUAUUCCUGUACCCGUAUAUGGAGCGAAGGAGGAACGGAGAAGGCUAGCAUGACCCUCUUAAUGGAUUGAGGGCGAAGCGAGGUAACUGGUGACCAGGCAAAUCCGGUCACUGCAAGGUGAAGACGUAACAGGUAAGUGAAAGAGCGAUCGAGUAGCGAAGCAUGUGAUGCCAGCUUCCAAGAAAAGCUUCUAGCAAUGCAUAUACGGCCCGUACCAAAACCGACACAGGUGGGCAGGGAGAGAAUCCCGAGGUGAGCGAGAGAACUGUUGCCAAGGAACUCGGCAAAAUGGCUCCGUAAGUUAGCAAGAAGGAGCGCUCGAAAGAGCCGCAGUGAAAAGGCCCAAGCGACUGUUUAACUAAAACAUAGCUCUCUGCGAAGCCGCAAGGCGAAGUAUAGGGGGUGACACCUGCCCGGUGCUGGAAGGUUAAGAGGAUCUGUGAAUCGCAAGAGGAAGCAGUGAGUUGAAGCCCCAGUGAACGGCGGCCGUAACUAUAACGGUCCUAAGGUAGCGAAAUUCCUUGUCAGGUAAGUUCUGACCCGCACGAAAGGUGUAACGAUUUGGGCGCUGUCUCGGCAGCAGACUCGGUGAAAUCUUAGUACCUGUGAAAAUGCAGGUUACCCGCAACUAGACGGAAAGACCCCAUGGAGCUUUACUGUAGCUUGAUAUUGAACUUUGGUCGUACCUGUACAGGAUAGGUGGGAGACAUAGAGACGUGCACGCCAGUGUACGAGGAGUCGGCGUUGGGAUACCACUCUUGUGCGAUCGGAGUUCUAACCCAGGUCCAUGAAACUGGAUCGGGGACCGUGUCAGGCAGGCAGUUUGACUGGGGCGGUCGCCUCCCAAAGAGUAACGGAGGCGCCCAAAGGUACGCUCAGAUUGGAUGGAAACCAAUCAUUGAGUGCAAUUGCAGAAGCGUGCUUGACUGUGAGACAAACAAGUCGAACAGGGACGAAAGUCGGGAAUAGUGAUCCGGCGGUGCCGAAUGGAAGGGCCGUCGCUCAACGGAUAAAAGCUACCCUGGGGAUAACAGGCUGAUCUCGCCCAAGAGUUCACAUCGACGGCGAGGUUUGGCACCUCGAUGUCGGCUCAUCGCAUCCUGGAGCUGGAUUCGGUUCCAAGGGUUGGGCUGUCCGCCCAUUAAAGCGGUACGCGAGCUGGGUUCAGAACGUCGUGAGACAGUUCGGUCCCUAUCUGUUGUGGGCGUUGGAGAUUUGAGGAGAGCUGUCCUUAGUACGAGAGGACCGGGAUGGACCUACCACUGGUGCACCAGUUGUUCUGCCAAGAGCAUAGCUGGGUAGCUAAGUAGGGAAAGGAUAAGCGCUGAAAGCAUCUAAGCACGAAACCUACUCCAAGAUGAGAUCUCCCAACAAGUAAGACCCCUUAAAGACGAUAAGGUAGAUAGGCCAGAGAUGGAAGUGUAGAGAUACAUGGAGUUGACUGGUACUAAUCGGUCGAGGACUUAAUCAA
rnacentral:rRNA from 1 species